rnacentral:rRNA from 1 species
GAUGAACGCUGGCGGCGUGCCUAAUACAUGCAAGUCGAGCGAACAGACGAGGAGCUUGCUCCUCUGACGUUAGCGGCGGACGGGUGAGUAACACGUGGAUAACCUACCUAUAAGACUGGGAUAACUUCGGGAAACCGGAGCUAAUACCGGAUAACAUGUUGAACCGCAUGGUUCAACAGUGAAAGACGGUCUUGCUGUCACUUAUAGAUGGAUCCGCGCCGCAUUAGCUAGUUGGUAAGGUAACGGCUUACCAAGGCAACGAUGCGUAGCCGACCUGAGAGGGGGAUCGGCCACACUGGAACUGAGACACGGUCCAGACUCCUACGGGAGGCAGCAGUAGGGAAUCUUCCGCAAUGGGCGAAAGCCUGACGGAGCAACGCCGCGUGAGUGAAGAAGGUCUUCGGAUCGUAAAACUCUGUUAUUAGGGAAGAACAAAUGUGUAAGUAACUAUGCACGUCUUGACGGUACCUAAUAAGAAAGCCACGGCUAACUACGU